CGAGGGAAAUAGUUAGUUUUGUUUUCCCGCGAAUCUCAAUGUUUGAGACAUUGAGAUUGAGAUUCGAGGGAAAACAAAACUAACUAUUUCCCGA
rnacentral:miRNA from 1 species